AACCCCGCCAUGUCCGGGUUAUGACAUGACCUCCCUGUUGGACUGACCCGGGCCUCGGCUCGGGUCUUUUU
rnacentral:ncRNA from 1 species